rnacentral:rRNA from 1 species
AGAGUUUGAUCCUGGCUCAGGAUGAACGCUGGCGGCGUGCUUAACACAUGCAAGUCGAACGAAGCAUAGGAGUGGAAUUUUUCGGAAGGAAACAACUAUGACUGAGUGGCGGACGGGUGAGUAACGCGUGGGUAACCUGCCUCAUACAGGGGGAUAACAGUUAGAAAUGACUGCUAAUACCGCAUAAGCGCACAAAACCGCAUGGUUUGGUGUGAAAAACUGAGGUGGUAUGAGAUGGACCCGCGUCUGAUUAGCUAGUUGGAGAGGUAACGGCUCACCAAGGCAACGAUCAGUAGCCGACCUGAGAGGGUGACCGGCCACAUUGGGACUGAGACACGGCCCAAACUCCUACGGGAGGCAGCAGUGGGGAAUAUUGCACAAUGGGGGAAACCCUGAUGCAGCAACGCCGCGUGAGUGAAGAAGUAUUUCGGUAUGUAAAGCUCUAUCAGCAGGGAAGAAGAGAGACGGUACCUGACUAAGAAGCCCCGGCUAACUACGUGCCAGCAGCCGCGGUAAUAGGUAGGGGGCAAGCGUUAUCCGGAUUUACUGGGUGUAAAGGGAGCGUAGACGGCUUGAUAAGUCUGAAGUGAAAGGCCAAGGCUUAACCAUGGAACUGCUUUGGAAACUAUGAGGCUAGAGUGCUGGAGAGGUAAGCGGAAUUCCUAGUGUAGCGGUGAAAUGCGUAGAUAUUAGGAGGAACACCAGUGGCGAAGGCGGCUUACUGGACAGAAACUGACGUUGAGGCUCGAAAGCGUGGGGAGCAAACAGGAUUAGAUACCCUGGUAGUCCACGCGGUAAACGAUGAAUGCUAGGUGUUGGUGGGGCAAAGCCCAUCGGUGCCGUCGCUAACGCAAUAAGCAUUCCACGUGGGGAGUACGUUCGCAAGAAUGAAAGUCAAAGGAAUCGACGGGGACCCGCACAAGCGGUGGAGCAUGUGGUUUAAUUAGAAGCAACGAGAAGAACCUUCCCAAGUCUUGACAUCCUCAUGAAUGAUGGGUAAAGCCAUCAGGCGUUAGGGACAGGAGAGACAGGUGGUGCAUGGUUGUCGUCAGCUUGUGUCGUGAGAUGCUGGGUUAAGUCCCGCAAUGAGCGCAACCCUUAUCAUUAGUAGCCAGCAGGUAGAGCUGGGGACUGUAGUGAGACUGCCAGGGAGAACGUGGAGGAAGGUGGGGAAGACGUCAAAUCAUCAUGCCCCUUAUGAUUUGGGCUACACACGUGCUACAAUGGGGUAAACAGAGGGAGGGGAAAGUGAGAGAUGGAGCGAACCCCAAAAAUAACGUAUCAGUUCGGAUUGUAGUAUGCAACUGGAAUACAUGAAGCUGGAAUCGCUAGUAAUCGCGAAUCAGAAGGUCGCGGUGAAUACGUUCCCGGGUCGUGCACUCACCGCCAGUCA